rfam:Salmo salar isolate Sally breed double haploid chromosome ssa02, whole genome shotgun sequence.
UCCCGUGUGGCUCAGUUGGUAGAGCAUGGUGUUUGCAACGCCAGGGUUGCGGGUUCGUUUCCCACGGGGG